GAGAGACCGGUUCCCGAGAGCAACACUUUCGGGACUUAGCCAAAUUUCGGCUUCUCUCGCUGGGCCAACGUUCGGGAAUCGGUCCCUGCCUGCCAGGGACCGGUCUCAACAGAGACCCCCGCAGCCCAGCCCGAUGGGACCGGUCCCUCCCUGCCAGGGACCGGUCCCCGAGAGCAUUUCUGCUCCAGUGCAGCUUUUGCACUGGUGCUCUCGCGGACACCUCCUCAAUGCACCUCAUGCAUUGCGGUCACCUUCGGACUUUCCGAAGCUCGUACGCUCGACAAUCAGUCGAUUCUUGACGAAGUCUAAUCCUCGGGUUUCGAGAAUUCACUUCCCUUACAUACUCACUGCAAAGUUAUACUGUUAGGGUGCAACUGAGUAGUCUAAUGUUGUUCCGAUUUUCGUUCUUGUGAACGUUGACAUCGAUUCAUUCCAAAUUCACACUCUCGGGGCAUAAUAGAGCAUCUCGGGGCAUAAUAGAGCAAUAUAAUAAGGUUUUACUCUUUGUUCGAUAGAAUGAGAAAAAGUACUCCUUACAAAGUUAUACUGUUAAGGCGCUACUGAAUAGUCUAAUGUUGUUCCGGUUUUGAUUCUUGUGAAAGUUGACAUCGAUUUGUUCCAAAUUUACACUCUCGGGGCAUAAUAGACCAAUAUAAUUAGGUUUACUCCUUGUUCGAUGGAAUGAGAAAAAGUACUCGUUGCAAAGUUAUACUGUUAGGGCGCAACUGAGUAGUCUAAUGUUGUUCCGAUUUUUGUUCUUCUGAACGUUGACAUCGAUUUGUUUCAANGUUAAUUAAGAGAAACCAUCUCUCUUUCUCUCUAGUAUCUCCGUUUCUCUCUCUCUCUCUUUUCUUCGAACGAGAGGUUCGGAGAGAGCCAAACCCGUGGUUUCUCUUUUCUCACGUUCAAGUGUAUAUAUAUAUAUAUAUAUAUCUCUCUCUCUCUCUCUCUCUCUCUCUCUCUCUCGUCCCGACGACACGAGAUCCCUCGUGCCUCCGGAGGCACGAGGACUCGGCAAAAGCUACUACCUCAAAGGCUUAGUUGCUAGCCGAGGCAAUUUGAACUAGAUCGCAUAAACUUCAAAGAUCUUUUAUUAAAAACACUAAAAAGCUAUAGUAAAUGGAUCGUUAGCUUUCCUAAGUUUUAGUUAUUAAAAAUUGCCAACUUUUAUUUUUAGGAUAUUUUUCACCACUAUAUCGUGAUUUUAAAAGCUAGUCUUUAUAACUAGAACAAUAUCUAUCAUAUUUCUGAGGAGAAAAUUGGAAUUGCUUGGUGGUGUAGCAAGCUUGGUGGAGAAGAAGGCUUGGAGUUGAAGCUUCAUCUUCAUCUUCUCCUUCCUUGGUCUAAGAGGAAACUUGAGAGGUUUUCUGACGCGCUGGCGAAGUCGGUUCGGCGAUACGACGAGGUUACGCGAAGAUAUUGAAGAAAAGGCCGAUUUCGGUACAGAUUGCCGCAGCUCGUGGCGUAAGCUCCCAAAAAUCACGAAACCGGAAUCGUAGCAUCGUGACAUCACCUAAAGUCUUGGAGCUAAAAAAGUCGGGGGCACGAAGGGUCGCGUGGAGCUCUCGGUGGGUUUGACCUCGCUACAAAUGAGAAAAUCUCAUUUAUGUGGAUUUAAGUAUCGUAAAAUGGAAAAUCACGCAUUUUAAUGAAAAAUGCAUUAUUUGUGAAUUUUAAAAUGCUUGAAAUGCUUAUGUUAUAUACAAUGCAUUUUCGGACCUCUAUGUAGUAGAGAGCUUGCAUGUAAGACUUAUGCAUGGGUUUAGCAUUCUAAUUGGGACUUGGAAUCAUGCUUCAUAUAGUAGACAUGACAAAUGUGUAAUAUGCCUUGGACAUAAAUCUCAUUUGGACAUAAGAGAAUACAUUAGGCCAUAAAGUGGUUUUGGACUUGAAUAACUUGUGAGUUAGGGAGCUAAUGUCGUAAUGCGACAUCGGGCUUGAGCUAUGAAUGAGCCUAGCAAAGUAAUGCCAUAGAGAGGCAUUAGGCUUGAAUGAUAUGUGAAUUGUAUAUGCAUGUUAAUAGUAUGAGAAUUAUGCUAAGUUGGUAGUUGCAUUGGAAAGUGUAUGCAUGUAGCAUUAUGAGAACUAUGCUAUGUUGAUAGUUGUAUACGGAUGCAUUGAAACCAUAUGCUAGUGGAUAGAUGCAUGUUAAUAUUUAUAUGCAUUGUGGAAUACAUGCUAGGUACAUAUUAGCAAUGUGAGAUCAUGCUAGAGAGCAUGCGAAUUAACCUAUUAUUGAUAGGGUAAGCUAAUGUCAUAAAGAGGCAUUGGGCUUGAAAUUUGUAAGGUACAGAACUUCUUAAAUUCUGAAGUUACGGUAGGAUGUAAUAGGUUUUACUCUUUGUUCGAUAGAAUGAGAAAAAGUACACGUUGCAAAGUUAUACUGUUAUGGCGCAACUGAGUAGUCUAAUGUUGUUCCGGUUUUGAUUCUUGUGAACGUUGAAAAUUCGUUCCAAAUUUACACUCUCGGGGCAUAAUAGAACUAUAUAAUUAGGUUUUACUCUUUGUUCGAUAGAAUGAGAAAAAGUACUCGUUUCAAAGUUAUACUGUUAGGGCGCAACAGAGUAGUCUAAUGUUGUUCUGGUUUUCGUUCUUGUGAACGUUGACAUCGAUUCGUUCCAAAUUUACACUCUAGGGGCAUAAUAGAACUAUAUAAUUAGGUUUUACCCUUUGUUCAAUAGAAUGAGAAAAAGUACUCGUUGCAAAGUUAUACUGUUUGGGCGCAACUGAGUAGUCUAAUUUUGUUCCUGUUUUUGUUUUUGUGAACGUUGACAUCGAUUCGUUCCAAAUUUACACUCUCGGGGCAUAAUAGAACAAUAUAAUUAGGUUUUACUCUUUGUUCGAUAGAAUGAGAAAAAGUACUUGUUGCAAAGUUAUACUGUUAAGGCGCAACUGAGUAGUCUAAUGUUGUUCCGAUUUUGGUUCUUGUGAAUGUUGACAUUGAUUCGUUCAAAAUUUACACUCUCGAGGUAUAAUAAAAUAAUAUAAUUAGGUUUUACUCUUUAUUCGAUAGAAUGAGAAAAAGUACUCGUCGCAAAGUUAUACUGUUAGGGGGCAACUGAGUAGUCUACUGUUGUUCCGAUUUUGGUUCUUGUGAACGUUGACAUCGAUUCGUUCCAAAUUUACACUCUCGAGGUAUAAUAGACCAAUAUAAUUAGGUUUUCUCUUUGUUCGAUAGAAUGAGAAAAAGUACUCGUUGCAAAGUUAUAUUGUUAGGGCGCAACUGAGUAGUCUAAUAUUGUUCCGAUUUUG
rnacentral:lncRNA from 1 species